rnacentral:rRNA from 1 species
AGCGACUGUGCAGGUUACCGCGGCUGCUGGCACGGAGUUAGCCGGUGCUUCUUCUGUGAGUGAUGUCCUUCCUGCCGGUUAUUGACCCGCAGGCCUUCUUCCUCACUGAAAGUGCUUUACAACCCGAAGGCCUUCUUCACACACGCGGCAUGGCUGGAUCAGGGUUGCCCCCAUUGUCCAAUAUUCCCCACUGCUGCCUCCCGUAGGAGUCUGGGCCGUGUCUCAGUCCCAGUGUGGCUGAUCAUCCUCUCAGACCAGCUACGGAUCGUCGCCUUGGUGAGCCGUUACCUCACCAACCAGCUAAUCCGACAUAGGCUCAUCCGAUAGCGCGAGGCCCGAAGGUCCCCCGNUUUCCCCCGGUAGGGCGUAUGCGGUAUUAGCCUGGGUUUCCCCAGGUUAUCCCCCGACUACCGGGCAGAUUCCUAUGCAUUACUCACCCGUCCGCCGCUCGCCACCAGGGAGCAAGCUCCCCGUGCUGCCGCUCGACUUGCAUGUGUUAGGCCUGCCGCCAGCGUUCAAU